UACGGAGGGUGCAAGCGUUAUCCGGAUUUACUGGGUUUAAAGGGUGCGUAGGCGGGUCUUUAAGUCAGCGGUGAAAACUUCGAGCUUAACUCGAAAACUGCCAUUGAUACUAUUGAUCUUGAAUUUAGUUGAGGUUGGCGGAAUGUGUCGUGUAGCGGUGAAAUGCUUAGAUAUGACACAGAACACCGAUUGCGAAGGCAGCUGGCUAAACUAAAAUUGACGCUGAGGCACGAAAGUGUGGGGAUCAAACAGG
rnacentral:rRNA from 1 species